CUACACAGAUAUUAUUAUUAUUACUGUUACUGCUACCCUUAUUGUGGUUCUCCUCUGUGGGAUUCUGACCUUCCUGUGGUACAAAGGUUUCAUUUGCAAAAAGGAAAGUCGUCUUGCCCAUUUUCAAGAGAACAAACCAGAAGAUACAGGCACCGUGAUCUAUGACAAAAUAGAAGAUAUUAAGAAAAACGACCAGGACCCUCAAGGGGUUGUCUAUGUCCAACUCAACUUGGAACCCUUGGAACAAGCAAAGUCACAUGAUCAGCUCAAGAAAGAACCAGAGAUCUUAUAUGCCAGCGUUAAUAAAUGAAAGGAGAAAUUAGCGGGAGAGAAAGGGAUGAACUAGUAACUGUAAUUGCACUAACUGUCUGCACCUUACUAGCCUGGAGCUUAGUGGCUACACAACAGCUUUUUCCUUGAUCAAGAGACCAAUAAAAUAUACCGGUUUCAGACCAAGGGUCCAGGUCGGCUGAUUAUUGGUCCAGUGGACUGAGUGUGCCUGAACCAUAUCAAAAAAUUGGGCAGAUGUCUAUCAGGCAGUUUUGAAUGAGGAGCACAUCGACGCAUUGAAGCAUAGUCCGGCUGUAGGAUUCAGUCAGCCCCAUUUUGGCCCUGCACAUUGGUGGCCAAAUUAUGCAAAGCUAUCCUUGUUUUGCAGCUUUGACUAACUUACUGGUCACUUACCGGACCUUAAAAUAGAAUUUAUUUAGCUUUUGAGAAUGUGAUUCACCACCAUUAACCUCUGUAUUAAAGAUUUCCAUUUUGCACCAUGUAUCAGACAUAGCUUCCUUCAGUAUAUAUAUUAAUCCUUGUAUAUAAAUCCUCAGUAUCCAGUUAUUCAAUAAAAUAUCUUUGGUUUUGGCUUACGCGGACUACCCCUGUGCCUUUAUCAGCAAUGCUGUUAUGCCUUCAGCACUGUUUGUUGUUUUAUUGCACCACCUAGUGGUUUCUCAAUGCUUAUAUUAUUAUUUCAGCACUGUUUGUUGUUUUAU